AUGCACGCUGGCGGCGUGCCUAAUACAUACAAGUCGCGCGAACGGACGAGAAGCUUGCUUCUCUGAUGUUAGCGGCGGACGGGUGAGUAACACGUGGAUAACCUACCUAUAAGACUGGGAUAACUUCGGGAAACCGUAGCUAAUACCGGAUAAUAUUUUGAACCGCAUGGUUCAAAAGUGAAAGACGGUCUUGCUGUCACUUAUAGAUGGAUCCGCGCUGCAUUAGCUAGUUGGUAAGGUAACGGCUUACCAAGGCAACGAUGCAUAGCCGACCUGAGAGGGUGAUCGGCCACACUGGAACUGGGACACGGUCCAGACUCCUACGGGAGGCAGCAGUAGGGAAUCUUCCGCAAUGGGCGAAAGCCUGACGGAGCAACGCCGCGUGAGUGAUGAAGGUCUUCGGAUCGUAAAACUCUGUUAUUAGGGAAGAACAUAUGUGUAAGUAACUGUGCACAUCUUGACGGUACCUAAUCAGAAAGCCACGGCUAACUACGUG
rnacentral:rRNA from 1 species